rnacentral:rRNA from 1 species
GACGAACGCUGGCGGCGUGCUUAACACAUGCAAGUCGAACGGAAAGGCCCUGCUUUUGUGGGGUGCUCGAGUGGCGAAAGGGUGAGUAACACGUGAGUAACCUGCCCUGGACUUUGGGAUAACUUCAGGAAACUGGGGCUAAUACCGGAUAGGAGCUCGUGCUGGAGGGUGGGGGUUGGAAAGUUUCGGCGAUUGGGGAUGGACUCGCGGCUUAUCAGCUUGUUGGUGGGGUAGUGGCUUACCAAGGCUUUGACGGGUAGCCGGCCUGAGAGGGUGACCGGCCACAUUGGGACUGAGAUACGGCCCAGACUCCUACGGGAGGCAGCAGUGGGGAAUAUUGCACAAUGGGCGGAAGCCUGAUGCAGCAACGCCGCGUGCGGGAUGACGGCCUUCGGGUUGUAAACCGCUUUCGCCUGUGACGAAGCGUGAGUGACGGUAAUGGGUAAAGAAGCACCGGCUAACUACGUGC